UGGCUCAGUUCGGUAGAGCAUGGUGUUUGCAACACCAGCAUGGUGUGUGUAACGCCAGGGUUGUGGGUUCAAUUCCCAC
rnacentral:tRNA from 1 species